rnacentral:rRNA from 1 species
UACGGGGGGGGCAAGCGUUGUUCGGAAUUAUUGGGCGUAAAGAGCUCGUAGGCGGUCUGUCGCGUCUGCUGUGAAAACCCGAGGCUCAACCUCGGGCCUGCAGUGGGUACGGGCAGACUAGAGUGCGGUAAGGGAGAUUGGAAUUCCUGGUGUAGCGGUGGAAUGCGCAGAUAUCAGGAGGAACACCGAUGGCGAAGGCAGAUCUCUGGGCCGUAACUGACGCUGAGGAGCGAAAGCGUGGGGAGCGAACAGG